AAUCUCUUACCUACUUCAGUGUAAAUACACAUGACAAAUAGUUGAGUUCCACAUCUUUUCCAGAUGCAUAAGAUGCACCACAGAAGUACGUUUAUCCUAUUCAGUGGUGAGAAAUAUUCCUUGAAGACCACACGUGAAAGCUCCCUCACACCCAAAAUAAUUUUGUCCAUUUAAUCAUGAUAAAAGUAUUGCUUCAAGUAGGCCAGAAGCUUCACAUGUGUAUGAGCAGAGUUCAGGCCGUAUGGUCUCCCAUGCUGCUCAGCUAUCUCUUGUUAGAAGAUGUGCGAUGUGCAUUUCAAAAUCAAAUAUGGAACGGUGCUCUCAGGUGGUUUUCUACACUGCUCACAGCAAAACCUCACAUGAUGUCAUAAAAUAGAACAGAAUCGCUUGGCAUUACCAGGUUAAGCUCUUCUUCACUCAAGCAAAAAUCAAUAGGAUGCUGUAGAAGAGAAAGGAAAAAUACCAAGAUAGCAUCAGACAGAAACAUCAUUUUACUACCAUUUGGGAACCCAUUUUCCAGCAAAAAAAAACAGAGAAAUCGGAACUUCACAGAACAACAUGUCACAAGUUUUAAUUUAACAAGAUAAGAGGAACAAGAAGCACAAGAGAAAUUUUGCCUCACCUUGGCUGUUCCUAUGAGAAAUGCAAAGAGAGCUAUCCAUUGGUGAUAAAUUAGCAUUACUUUCUAUUGAUCUAACAAUUCAGAAAGUGCAAUUACAAUUUAUUAAAGCAUUACUAUACUAUCAUAAAAGAGAGAUGACACCUGGUUUAAUAUUCACUAGAUUCACAUGAAAGUGGCUCUGGAACUUCAAAAAACUUUAGUUCAGGCUCAUGGAAGUCCUGCCAAUGACACUCCCUUUGGUACAUCUACCUCCUCCUGCUUUGCUUCUCUUCAAAUAGCUCAUUUGUAACACUGCUCUGCUGAAUGAUCUAUAUAUCCUCAUCGGAUGACUGCAAGGCUGACAAUCAAAUCUGCUCUUAGCUGCUUCUGCUGUAGCCUCCGGAGUUCUGAAUAGCUGGAAAACUCACAAGAUAUCUACCACUGGAGAUCAGUACCCUUAGCUUAUUGCAAGCAUAUCAGGAGUUACUCAUUCUUAAAGUCUAUAAACCUAAUGGUUUUCUUCAGACACAACUACCCUCUACUGUGCCUGUAGGAAUUGAGAUGUAUGUUGGUCAUUCCCUACAGUUGGCCCUUUCAUAAAGCGUUAUGAGGAAAUCCAAGUUGCUUUAUGUGGAAUGUAAGUGAGGGCAAGCAGGUUGUUGAAGUAGGAGUGCCAAAUGCA